AGGUGCAGCGUCGGGUGUUCAGCGAUGGAGGUAGAGCACUGGAUGGGCUAGGGGGCCGACAAGCUUACCGAACUCAACCAAACUCCGAAUGCCAUCGCUCCAGAACCCGGCAGUGAGACCAUGGGGGGAUGAGCUUCAUGGUCGAGAGGGAAACAGCCCAGACCGCCGGCUAAGGCCCCUAAUUCUGGACUAAGUGGUAAACGAUGUGGGAUUGCACAGACAGCCAGGAGGUUGGCUUAGAAGCAGCCACCCUUGAAAGAGUGCGUAAUAGCUCACUGGUCGAGUGAUCCUGCGCGGACAAUGUAACGGGGCUCAAGUCCAGAGCCGAAGCCGCGGACCCCCUUCGGGGGGUGGUAGCGGAGCGUCGAUCUCGGAGCGAAGCGGCGGGAGAACCCGUCGUGGACCGUGGUCGAGUGAGAAUGUUGGCAUGAGUAGCGAAAGAGGGGUGAGAAACCCCUCCGCCGAAUGCCCAAGUGUUCCUGGGGAAGGCUAAUCCACCCAGGGUGAGUCGGGAGCUAAGGC
rnacentral:rRNA from 1 species